rnacentral:lncRNA from 1 species
AGAAUCUAUCUAUGACAUAACUGUUAUGCGUCUUCACUUUAUCCCUAGCUUCGGUAAUGGAAGUCACAAGUGCAUCAAAAGAGUGAAGACCCCACGGAAAUUUUCUCAUCUUAUCGAAAUCUAUCACCAGCUUGAUGUACUUGUGUGGGAUGCACACCUUCUCAUCCUUCGCCAUAACCAGACCAGCAAUCACACACAAAUACACCAUCCUCAGCCUAUCAACAUGAGACCAUGUAUUACAAGAUUUCAGAUGCACCUUCCUGAUUUGAUGUAGGCUAAUUUUUCUUUUUCUCCGCAACAACUUACUCCAAAACCCUUUAUCA